rfam:Gossypium hirsutum cultivar TM-1 chromosome 13, whole genome shotgun sequence
UAUUAAAAAUUUCAUUUAUUUAUACUAUUAAAAAUUAACUUAGCUGACAAAAUAAUUAGACUGUUACAUGUGGUAUGUCACGUGUACCUUAUGUUGACAUGCAGAGACCGAUUUUAAACAGUAAAAAUAGAUGAAAUUUUUAACA